UACAGAGGGUGCGAGCGUUAAUCGGAAUUACUGGGCGUAAAGCGCGCGUAGGCGGCUUUGCAAGUCGGGUGUGAAAUCCCCAGGCUUAACCUGGGAACUGCAUUCGAGACUGCAUUGCUAGAGUAUGGGAGAGGGAAGUGGAAUUUCCGGUGUAGCGGUGAAAUGCGUAGAUAUCGGAAGGAACAUCAGUGGCGAAAGCGACUUCCUGGACCAAUACUGACGCCCAUGUGCGAAAGCGUGGGGAGCAAACAGG
rnacentral:rRNA from 1 species